UUGUGUGUGGGGAGAAAAUUACAGAAGCCUCUGAGGUCGAAACAAGGAAAGACUUCGAUGUGCUUCUGUGUUUUU
rnacentral:sRNA from 1 species